rnacentral:rRNA from 1 species
GACGAACGCUGGCGGCGUGCUUAACACAUGCCAGUCGAACGGAAAGGCCCUGCUUUUGUGGGGUGCUCGAGUGGCGAACGGGUGAGUAACACGUGAGUAACCUGCCCUUGACUUUGGGAUAACCUCAGGAAAAUGGGGCUAAUACCGGAGAGGAGCUCCUGCUGCAUGGGGGGGGUUGGAAAGUUUCGGCGGUUGGGGAUGGACUCGCGGCUUAUCAGCUUGGUGGUGGGGUAGUGGCUUACCAAGGCUUUGACGGGUAGCCGGCCUGAGAGGGUGACCGGCCACAUUGGGACUGAGAUACGGCCCAGACUCCUACGGGAGGCAGCAGUGGGGGAUGUUGCACAAUGGGCCGAAGCCUGAUGCAGCAACGCCGCGUGCGGGAUGACGGCCUUCGGGUUGUAAACCGCUUUCGCCUGUGACGAAGCGUGAGUGACGGUAAUGGGUAAAGAAGCACCGGCUAACUACGUG